CAGAACUUUCACCAGAAGUGCAAACAUGGCGGACAUGGACAAUUUUUCGAUGCGUUUUUAAAAGCGGUCCGGUAAUUCAGCAAUCUAAUGAAUCUGUCUUCUUUUUUCUGAAAUCGUGCUUAAUUAUUAUUAGUUAUUCGGCUCUACACCGUUGUUCAAAUACUUAUAAUUUCAAGAAACACCCCGAUAAGGACCAGCAGUCAUUGAUGUUAGCAUGUACUGCACAAAGACAAACUGAUGCCAUAGCACUAAUAGCAGUCAAAAAAACAAUGGGAAAAGAAAGAGCUGAAGAAAGGAUGAUUACUGCAUCUAUGAUUUCUGAUAGCUGUUUUUGAAGGUUUUACUACAUCAGAAAGAUCAAGACAGUUGGAAAGGGCUAUUUAUAUCAUGGAAACUUUUUCUCACAGAGCUUGAUAAUCAGGCAAAAUGCUGGAACACCCUUGCAAGAGUAUUUGAUGUAUGAUAAGAACAAGAGAACCCAACCAUACCUUUUGAAUAUUAAACCAUUAAUUUAUUUUAUAGUUCUGGAAAAGAAUGCAUUUGACCUAAUUUUUAAAUAUUUUUUAAUUUGUUUUUAAUGUUAAAUAUCCUCCCCAAACACAAUUAGAAUUUAAUUCUCUCAGGAAAUUUAUGUAUAAUAUAGAAAGUAAAGUGACAUAUAAAUCACUUAGAAUUUGGUCGGAAAUCCUAAAGUAGAAACCAAAUAUAUGCAGAAUUACAAAAAUCCCAUGACCUACAUUAAGGUGACUUUCUCUUGCUUAUCAAAUGAAAUAGGGUUUAAUAUCCUACCGGUCUGUGUUAUUAUGGUAAUUCUGCCCUACAACCUACUCUUUUAUCAAAUAUUUCAAAGGUUUCUUUAAAAUGAACACAGGAACACGCGCACAUUGGAUCAGAUCUGGCAUUGAGUAAAAUAUUUAAAUUGUCAAGGUUUCUUUAAAGUCAACACAUUGGGGGUGGUUUCGAUUCCCCGCUUGUACAUGACAAGGAGUAGGCGCACCUGUCAAACCUCGCAGGUCAAACCUAUGCUCAAAUGAAUUAUUGAAAUAAUAUUGAACCUUAUGUUAGUCCCUAAUGGACCCAGUUUAUGUCGAGUGGAGACUAAACCCCAUUUCUCUCUUGCUUUAAAAUACACACCAAGGUGUUUAUGAGACCUAGGUUUAUUGUCCUAUGCGAACAACUAUAUCAUCCCUUGCCAUGUCCUACACCACUGACAUGGGGGAACUAUGCCGGUAAAUCCAGAUGAAAUUUCUGGGCCAACACCUUAUACUCACUGAACCAAUGUAGCUCCCCCUUGCUUCUGACUUAUAUAAAUAUUUUGUACAUAUUAUUUAAUAUUUGCCAUUUUCUCUGAUAUUUUUAUUUCGUUUAUUUUACAAUAACCUGUAAUCUUGGUGCUUUCAUUAUUCAAUGGGCGCUCCUUUUAUGUACAAAUGAUUCAUUUUGUUUGUUUUUUUUUAAUGAGGAAAGGGUUCUACAUAAUUUUAUAACUCCUGCAAUAGUGCAUUUUUCUUUUGUUAGUUCUGUGUAUGCUACUUAUUUCUAGAUGCCUCACAAAUCACAUGUAAAAUGACUUUGAUGCACUUUUCAGUUUUUGAAAGUAUUUCAAUUUGAUGCAUAAUUAUAUGUCAUUAUAUAACACAAUUUCAUUAGUACUGGAAUUAAUUUUCUGUUAACAUUCCAAAUGUCUAUAUAGUUUUGAUUUGACAGUAUUAAUUUACUUUUUCCUAUCAUUUUUAAAUAAAU